ACGGGAGGCAGCAGUGGGGAAUAUUGCACAAUGGGCGCAAGCCUGAUGCAGCAACGCCGCGUGAGGGAAGACGGUUUUCGGAUUGUAAACCUCUGUCUUUGGUGACGAAGAAGUGACGGUAGCCGAGGAGGAAGCCACGGCUAACUACGUGCCAGCAGCCGCGGUAAUACGUAGGUGGCAAGCGUUAUCCGGAAUUACUGGGUGUAAAGGGAGCGCAGGCGGGAUAGCAAGUCAGCGGUGAAAAUUAUGGGCUUAACUCAUAAACUGCCGUUGAAACUGUUAUUCUUGAGUGGAGUAGAGGCAGGCGGAAUUCCGAGUGUAGCGGUGAAAUGCGUAGAUAUUCGGAGGAACACCAGUGGCGAAGGCGGCCUGCUGGGCUCUAACUGACGCUGAGGCUCGAAAGUGUGGGGAGCAAACAGGAUUAGAUACCCUGGUA
rnacentral:rRNA from 1 species